rnacentral:rRNA from 1 species
GGUCUCCGUAGGUGAACCUGCGGAGGGAUCAUUACAAGUGACCCCAGUCUAACCACCGGGAUGUUCAUAACCCUUUGUUGUCCGACUCUGUUGCCUCCGGGGCGACCCUGCCUUCGGGCGGGGGCUCCGGGUGGACACUUCAAACUCUUGCGUAACUUUGCAGUCUGAGUAAACUUAAUUAAUAAAUUAAAACUUUUAACAACGGAUCUCUUGGUUCUGGCAUCGAUGAAGAACGCANCGAAAUGCGAUAAGUAAUGUGAAUUGCAGAAUUCANUGAAUCAUCGAAUCUUUGAACGCACAUUGCGCCCCCUGGUAUUCCGGGGGGCAUGCCUGUUCGAGNGUCAUUUCACCACUCAAGCCUCGCUUGGUAUUGGGCAACGCGGUCCGCCGCGUGCCUCAAAUCGACCGGCUGGGUCUUCUGUCCCCUAAGCGUUGUGGAAACUAUUCGCUAAAGGGUGUUCGGGAGGCUACGCCGUAAAACAACCCCAUUUCUAAGGUUGACCUCGGAUCAGGUAGGGAUACCCGCUGAACUUA